AUGCAAGACUAUUUCGCGGAGAAUCCUACAUAUCCUCCACACCUCUUUCGGAGAAGGUACCAAAUGCGUCGAUCCCUCUUUGUGAAACUUGUUCCAGCUUGCGAGGCAAAUUGUUAGUAUUUCACUCAAAGAAGGAAUGGCGCGGGCUUAAAGGGAUUUAGUGCAUAUCAAAAAAUCUCCGCAGCUAUGCGGGUGAUUGCGUAUGGCGUUCCGGCUGACUAUGCCGAUGAGUAUCUUCGCAUUGGUGAAGAUAGCACAAUUGAGUCUGUGCGUAGAUUUGCGAAAGUGAUCGUCCGUGUCUUCUUCCUGAGUAUCUUUGGGCACCCAAUGAAGAUGACAC
rnacentral:rRNA from 1 species